ensembl:lncRNA
CGGCAACGGCGCACCUAUUGCAUUGGGUGGGGUGGGGGGGUGUAGAUAGAGGGAGGGAGGGUGAGAGGGUGAGGAAGGGAAUGGUGGUGAGGAAGAGAGGGAGAGGGGAGGAGAAUUAGACUGACUGACUGACUGAGAGUGAUUAACAGUCAUAGGAGCGAGCAGCUGUGAGCCACAGACAGAUCCUGCAGCAUGUGAGUGCUCGUAACCACGACAACGACGCACCUGUGCGGCUGCAAAAGUGCAGACACAGGACAGCGAGUUACACAGAAUCCACACCUCAAACAAAUGAGAACCAGCGCAAAACUAUAACAGCUAUCUAAAAAAUACGGCGUUUGUAUGAGACCCAAGACUCUACCGAACGCGUGGAUGUGUUUUUAUGUCUGUCCGGUAAUAAAUACGGCUCCUAUGGCCGUUGACAAAACGUGUACCUUGUGGAUUUUUGUGAGAAAUAUGUCGGCAGAUUUGUAUUGGAGCCUAUGGGGCUUUUGGCAGAGGUUGUGUCACUCAAACACUCCUUGCGCCAAAACUAAAAAACUCUGGGAUUCCAUGAACACAUUAAUCCAAUCAGCACAACCAUACCCUCAUUAAUCUGAAGAAAUG